rnacentral:lncRNA from 1 species
AGCAUCGGAACUCCAGCGCACUAUCAGCGUCAAAUGAAACUUGAACGGCGGAGCACGUGGCCCAAGCAUAAGUGAAGGUAUAGUGCACGCUGUUCAGUCACCACCAUUGACGGGCGCGCACAUCCGGUUUGGGCGCUGUGCAAUCCC